rnacentral:rRNA from 1 species
ACUACGAGCCAAGCUUAAAACCCAAAGGACUUGACGGUACCCCACAUCCACCUAGAGGAGCCUGUCCUAUAAUCGAUAAUCCACGUUUAACCUCACCAUUUUUAGUUAAUCAGCCUGUAUACCUCCGUCGUCAGCUUACCACGUGAGCGUCAGUUAGUGAGCCCAAUGUAUUUUACCUAAACGUCAGGUCAAGGUGCAGUAAAUGAAAUGGAAAGAGAUGGGCUACACUUUCUACUUUAGAAAAAACGAAAAACUACCUAUGAAAUCUAGUUAGAAGGCGGAUUUAGCAGUAAAAAGGAAUCAGCAUGUCCAUUUUAACCCGGCA